GGAGCUGCUCCCGGAUGUUAGCGGCGGACGGGUGAGUAACACGUGGGUAACCUGCCUGGUAAGACUGGGAUAACUCCGGGAAACCGGAGCUAAUACCGGAUAGUUCCUUGAACCGCAUGGUUCAAGGAUGAAAGACGGUUUCGGCUGUCACUUACAGAUGGACCCGCGGCGCAUUAGCUAGUUGGUGAGGUAACGGCUCACCAAGGCGACGAUGCGUAGCCGACCUGAGAGGGUGAUCGGCCACACUGGGACUGAGACACGGCCCAGACUCCUACGGGAGGCAGCAGUGGUCAAG
rnacentral:rRNA from 1 species